rnacentral:rRNA from 1 species
AACGAACGCUGGCGGCAUGCCUAACACAUGCAAGUCGAACGAAAACUCCGGGACCUUUGGCGCACGGCUGCGUCACCCGACGGGAGAGUCCCACAGGGUUGGACUAACUCCCCGAAUGGGGUGCUAAUACGGGACAAUGUCUUCUGACCAAUGAUUUAUCGACUUUGGAUGUGCCAGCGUUGGAUUAGCUAGUUGGUAGGGUAAAAGGCUAACAAGGCGACGAUUCAUAGCUGGUCUGAGAGGAUGAUCAGCGACACUGGGAGUGGGACGCGGCCCGGACUCCUACGGGAUGCAGGAGUGGGGAAUGGUGGACAAUGGGCGGAGGGCUGAUGCAGCAAUGCCGGGUGAGUGAUGAAGGCCGUAGGGUUGUAAAGCGCAUUUACCCGGGAUGAUAAUGACGGUACCGGGAGAAUAAGCUCCGGCUAACUACGUG